GGGUUGUGAGGUUAAGCGACCAAGCGUACACGGUGGAUGCCCUGGCAGUCAGAGGCGAUGAAGGACGUGCUAAUCUGCGAAAAGCGCCGGUAAGGUGAUAUGAACCGUUAUAACCGGCGAUGUCCGAAUGGGGAAACCCAGUGUGACUCGUCACACUAUCAUUAACUGAAUCCAUAGGUUAAUGAGGCGAACCGGGGGAACUGAAACAUCUAAGUACCCCGAGGAAAAGAAAUCAACCGAGAUUCCCCCAGUAGCGGCGAGCGAACGGGGAGGAGCCCAGAGCCUGGAUCAGCAUGUGUGUUAGUGGAAGCGUCUGGAAAGGCGCGCGAUACAGGGUGACAGCCCCGUACACAAAAGCGCAUGUGCUGUGAGCUUGAUGAGUAGGGCGGGACACGUGGUAUCCUGUCUGAAUAUGGGGGGACCAUCCUCCAAGGCUAAAUACUCCUGACUGACCGAUAGUGAACCAGUACCGUGAGGGAAAGGCGAAAAGAACCCCGGCGAGGGGAGUGAAACAGAACCUGAAACCGUGUACGUACAAGCAGUGGGAGCCCCACCACUAAGCCAGUGGUGAACUCCACAUACGCAUCCUUUGCGGAAGAUGCGGUUAACGGAGCGAAAGCGACGUUCAACCUAAAAAGAAGCAGAGGGGGCUUAGUGGUGGGGUGACUGCGUACCUUUUGUAUAAUGGGUCAGCGACUUAUAUUCUGUAGCAAGGUUAACCGUAUAGGGGAGCCGGAGGGAAACCGAGUCUUAACCGGGCGUUAAGUUGCAGGGUAUAGACCCGAAACCCGGUGAUCUAGCCAUGGGCAGGUUGAAGGUUGGGUAACACUAACUGGAGGACCGAACCGACUAAUGUUGAAAAAUUAGCGGAUGACCUGUGGCUGGGGGUGAAAGGCCAAUCAAACCGGGAGAUAGCUGGUUCUCCCCGAAAGCUAUUUAGGUAGCGCCUCGUGAACUCAUCUCCGGGGGUAGAGCACUGUUUCGGCCAGGGGGCCAUCCCGGCUUACCAACCCGAUGCAAACUGCGAAUACCGGAGAAUGUUAUCACGGGAGACACACGGCGGGUGCUAACGUCCGUCGUGAAGAGGGAAACAACCCAGACCGCCAGCUAAGGUCCCAAAGUCAUGGUUAAGUGGGAAACGAUGUGGGAAGGCCCAGACAGCCAGGAUGUUGGCUUAGAAGCAGCCAUCAUUUAAAGAAAGCGUAAUAGCUCACUGGUCGAGUCGGCCUGCGCGGAAGAUGUAACGGGGCUAAACCAUGCACCGAAGCUGCGGCAGCGA
rnacentral:rRNA from 1 species